CUGUUUAGGUUUCUCUUCAUAACGCACAAGUCUUUUGAAUUUUUCUUAAGACUUCCGUGAAGAGUAACUCCAACCCAUUUCGCCGAUUUUUGAAAUGCUUUGCCAUAUGUAGGGAC
ensembl:snRNA U5 U5 spliceosomal RNA